rnacentral:lncRNA from 1 species
GUUGACAUGGCAAUGAAUUCAGGAGUAAAGUUUCUUCAUAUAAAAAAUGGAUUCAGUAGAUAAUCUCAACUACUUUCUUCAUAUUUUAAAAUGUUAUGGCUCUGGACUCAUUGAAAAUGAUGAGAAAAUCAAAGGCCAUGGAGUUCAGUGCUAGAGGUAAGACUCAGAGAUUUUCUGAUAGAUUUUUCAAGACCUAUAAUGUCAAGUGUGGUCCUAAUUUGACUUUCUGUUUCAACCCCUAUUCUUUUAGGUUUUCUCUCCCAAUAAGAUGGAGAUAAAUCAUGCAACUUUCCACCUUAUUAUCUACAUAAUGACCUAUGCAACCACAUUUCAAUCUGCUUUCUAAGGAAUUAAAUCAUUAGCCUGGAUUAAAUCUGGUCUGUUCUGCUUCCCUACUUGCUUCACAUUUCUUUCUUUACAGCCUCUUGUUUUGAAUGUACUUCUCUAAUCAGUGGCACCUUAGUGUACCUUAAAGUUAUCUCUGCUUUGAGGCCUUUUCUGUCCUUUAUCCCUGCAAACUGCAUUAAACAGAUAACUUUAAAAGUGAAGCUUUUCCCAAAGAAAUGUUCUCAGAUUUAAUAUCUCUGGUGGCUCUGUGGGAGAGGAAGUAGUAUCAAGCACCAUUAGUCAGGGUGAGAAACCAAACUGAGUUGACAUCUGGCCUGAUGAAGCACUGAUUUUAAAAGCGAGUAUAUCCAACAUCCAAAUCUGACCAGAACCCCAUGGUACUCUAAGAGUCAACACUUCUGAAUAUUCACCACAGAGCUAGAGGAUUCCUGAUGCCUGGGAAAGAGCCAGUGCACUUUGUAUAUUUCAAGACAUCUCAGGAAAUGAAAAUGAGUUUUUUGUUAACCCAAAGAAUUUGAAGGAUAUAUAAAGCCAUUCAAAAUCGAAUCAUUUUCUAUAAGGAAAGUCCUGUAUUUAAUGACAGAUAUAAGGGCAACUACUUGUAGCUUUUUCUCUGGGUGGAUCGUUUUUCUUGACUGGAAGGAAAACUGCUCGUAUGGAGAACAUUUCCAUUGAAUUCUUGAUUCAUCCUAUUCCAGGCAUUUUGAUAAUCAAUUAUCAGUGCUGUCUUGGAUAAUCCUCAAAGAACACUAUGAGAUAGGCACUAUUUAUUCCCAUUUUGCAGAGUGUAAAGCUGUACUACAGUGAGAAAAAAAUAACUUGUCAAAAUUGCAUAGACAGGGUUCACUAUGUGGUAAAAAAACAUACAGUAAAAUAUUAACGUCAGCAUCUAGGCAGUGGGUAUAUGGAUGUUACCUGUAACUUUUCUGCUUCAACACUUUCAUUAAAAAUGUUGACAGAAAUACCACACAGCUAAUGACUAGAAGACUGGGAAUUUCUCUCAGGCCUGACUGCUUCUAAAAAUAACUCCCCUAACCUUCCAGUGCUGAUCAAUUUUGCAGGAGUAUUACUAGAAUGUAACGUCUGUCAUACCAUGGGAAGAGCAUGCAAUUUGGGAAAAGAAGAGCUGAGUUCAAGUUCCAGAUCCACCACUUUUCAGCUGAUCUUUAUUGCUAAUAAAUAAAGCCAAGCUUACA